AGAACGAACGCUGGCGGCAUGCCUAACACAUGCAAGUCGAACGAGACCUUCGGGUCUAGUGGCGCACGGGUGCGUAACGCGUGGGAAUCUGCCCUUGGGUUCGGAAUAACAGCGAGAAAUUGCUGCUAAUACCGGAUGAUGACGUAAGUCCAAAGAUUUAUCGCCCAAGGAUGAGCCCGCGUAGGAUUAGCUUGUUGGUGAGGUAAGAGCUCACCAAGGCGACGAUCCUUAGCUGGUCUGAGAGGAUGAUCAGCCACACUGGGACUGAGACACGGCCCAGACUCCUACGGGAGGCAGCAGUGGGGAAUAUUGGACAAUGGGACGAAAGCCUGAUCCAGCAAUGCCGCGUGAGUGAUGAAGGCCGUUAGGGUUGUAAAGCUCGUUUACCCGGAUGAUAAUGACAGUACGGAGAAUAAGCUCCGCUAACUCCGUGCCAGCAGCCGAC
rnacentral:rRNA from 1 species